UACGAAGGGGGGCUAGCGUUGCUCGGAAUCACUGGGCGUAAAGCGCACGUAGGCGGAUCGUUAAGUCAGGGGUGAAAUCCUGGAGCUCAACUCCAGAACUGCCUUUGAUACUGGCGAUCUUGAGUUCGGGAGAGGUGAGUGGAACUGCGAGUGUAAGAGGUGAAAUUCGUAGAUAUUCGCAAGAACACCAGUGGCGAAGGCGGCUCACUGGCCCGAUACUGACGCUGAGGUGCGAAAGCGUGGGGAGCAAACAGGG
rnacentral:rRNA from 1 species